CCGCUGCCGAAUGAAUGUGUGUUCUGUCAGCACGUGUUGCUGGGCCUGGAACUCGCUGCCAGGUUAGACUUUCCCUGUGCCGUUCCAGACUGCGGGGCCUUGACCAAGGAGUCAAAGUCGUAGGGAGGCUGGUUUGAGAGACUCCGUAACCAUUCAAGUGAUGUAGAAUGGAACGGGCUCCCUUGUGAGCUAGCGAGCAACCUGUCUCUGGGGAUGUUCGGAAAGAGAAGAGAGAUAGAAGAUGUGGCAGACAGACUCUAAGCUGAUUCCCAUGAUCCCGCCAGCUGGUGUUCAGGACCUUAGUGUGGGCAGGACCGGUGACUUGCUUCUAACCAAUGGAACAGAGCAAAGACGAUGAGAUGUCACUUCUGUGGUUACAUUACAUAAACUUGUGACACCUAUCUUACAGAGGGACUCUCCCUCUCGCUAGCUUUGAGGGACCAAGUGGCCAUGUUGGGGUGGCCCACAUAGCCAGGAGAUGAAGGCAACCUCUGGCCAAUGACCUGCGAGAAACUGAGGCCCUCAGUCCAAUAGGCCACAAACAACUGGAUUCUGCCAACACCUCUGGGAGUUUGGAAGUGGACCCUUCCCCAGUUGAGCCUCAGAUGAGACCGCAGCCCUGACCUCAAGUGCAGCUUUCAGAUGAGCGUGAAGCAGAGGACCCGGCUAAGCCAUGCUGGACUCUGGAACAACAGAGAUGUGAAAUAAUAAAUGGGUGUUGUUUUAACCCAUUAAGUUGUGGUGAUAUUGUUAUGCAGCAAUAGAUGACCAAUACAGGAUGUUGUAAAGGAAUUGUGUGUGUCACCCUGAAGGCCAGACUGGCUUUCCUGUAAGACCUCUUCCCACCUGGAGAUUCUAGUGCGUGCCUUACUCAUCCUUAUAUACUGCAUUAUGCCUAGUUCAGUUUCUUGUGCAAAAUAGGGACCCAACGCAUCUUGAAGUGGUAUGCUGCCUUAGCAUUGGUUUAUGCAUCAGAGAAAUGGGAGGCCUGGCCCGUGAGGAGGACGUGCUGGGGCAGAACAGGGUCAGAAGCUGGAAGCCUGGAUGCUGCACUCUUUCCAGCUGCUCCCUCCCAGUGUGACCUCGAGUGAGACUGUCUGGGCUUCGUGCACCUUAUAGGAACUCCCCACUCACAGGUUUGUGCAGGUCAAAUGAGCUAACAUGGCAGCCUGUUAAGAGGCCCACAGAGGUAAGGAAUUAUGAUUAUUUGUUAUGAAAUGUCACAGACAUUCCUGUUGGGUGACUCACGAGGCUCGGGGACUUGGAGAGUUUCCUUCCAAAUAAGGCUCGGAUGGAACUUCUCGUCAGCCUGGAGCCUCUGGGAGCCGGUCUAAGGGCUUUCCUGACCCUACCUGUCCCUCCUCCACUCUUGUUAGAGAAACCCACCCGGAGACCUGCGAUUCCCGAGCCCGAGUCUCUGUUGAAACCGGUGGACGGUCUCCCUGACGUUUGAUGAGAUCUGCCCUCAGCACGGGCAGGUGGCAGGGCAUCGUGAGCCUGGCUGCAUGAAUACAGGAGGUGACCUCGGGCUGGCUCCGGGGAAAAAGGUUGAGACAGGCUCUGGAACUGGGUUUGUCCGGCUAUGGCGCUCCUGGCCCUGUGACCUUCAGCAAGCUACUUCACCCCUCCUUGGCUCUGUUUCCUUCUGGGCUCGGCAUCUAUUUUUAGUGCAUCGAGUAUCUACUAUGUGCCAGGCACUGUUUCAGGAGGUGGAGACACAGCAACGAGCAACGGAGACCCAGUCCUUGUGCCGGUGGUGCCGACGUUCCAGUGUGGGAAGCAGAUAACGAGGAAGGAGGCAGACACCUGUUUUGUCGCAUGGUGAGGAGUGCCACCGAGCAAAGUCAAGCAGAGGGAGAGACUAGAGAACAGCGGGACUUGUUCUUUGAGACGAGCCAUGGGCCGAGGCUGGCUCCCUGUAGCCCGUGGUCAUAAAUAAAGUUUUAUCGGAACACA